rnacentral:rRNA from 1 species
AAAUUUUCAACGAUGGAUGUCUUGGCUCCCAUAACGAUGAAGAACGCAGCGAAUUGCGAAAAGCAAUGUGAAUUGCAGAACCAUAAUACAUUGGAUUUUCGAAUGCAACUUGC